CACAACCAUUACACUAAUUAAUAGACCAAAGAGAGCAUGAAUGAGCAUGAU
rnacentral:sRNA from 1 species